CUCGAAGUGUGGCUGUCAUGUCCCUAAAACACCUCACACAAAAAUGUAGAUGAACCAAACAAACAGGUUAAAGGAAGUUUUUGUGUUGCAGCCUUGCUGCUUUCAAAGUUUCUGCCUCUGCUGCCCCUGGAGUAUGGGGUACCAGACACUCUGAUGAGGGCUGUUUGUUGCCUGUACAACUAGUGCCGGCGUUUGGUCCGCAUGGUUGGUAGUAUGUCAGACUGGUUUCUGGUUAGGGUUGGACACCACCAGGGCUGCCCUUUACCACUGAUCCUGUUCAUAACUUUCAUUGACAGAAUUUCUAGGGUGUUAAGGGGGUCCAGUUUGGUUUUUCAGGAUUAGUUUAGUGUUUUUUGAAAAUGACAUGGUCCUGUUGGCUUCAUCAAGCCAUGAGCUUCAGUUCUCACUGGAGUGUAAAGCAGUUUGGAUGAAAAUCAGCACCUCUAAAUCUGAGUCCAAGGUUCUCAGCUGGAAAGCGCUGGAGUGCCCUCUCUGGGUCGGGAAUGAGAUCCUGCCCCAAGUUGGGGAGUACAAGUAUGUCAGGGUCAUGUUCACAACUCAGGUAAGAAUGGAGUAGAAGAUGGACAGGUGGCUGCACUGAUCUGUUGUGGUAAAGAGGGAGCUGAGUCGAAAGGCAAAACUCUUGCCGUACCAGUGGAUCUACAUUCCUACCCACACCUACGGUCAUGAGCUGUGGGUAGUCACCAAAAGAACAAAAUCACAGGUACAAAUGGCCGAAAUGAGUUUUCUCUGCAGGGUGGCUGGGCCUUAGAGACAGGGUAUGAAGCAGAGAAGGGCUUGGGAUAGAGCUGCUACUCUACUGCAUUGAGAGGAGUCAGAUGAGGUUACCUGGGAAUCUAACCAGGAUUCCACUCAGACGCCUUGCUGGUGAGGUAUUUGUGACAUUUUUAAUCCUUCAUUGGCACAAGGAGUCAAACUUCCCACAGACACACCUUGAAACUGAAGAAGAUCUUAUUAAACCCCGAAGGGAAAUUAUUGCAACAUUUUAACCAACCCCAACUGAUAACCUGAUCAUUCAAAGGGUAUUUAUUAAUUAUGUAUAUUUAAAAAUUAUGAGCUGGAAUCCCCUUGAGGCAUGAGUGAAAUGUCAAACUGUUACUGUGGUUUUGGUUCCCAUGUCACCAAAAUCCCCGUGAGGCAUGAGUGAAAUGUCAAACUGUUACUGUGGUUUUGGUUCCCAUGUCACCAAACACCAAAACAAAGAACAGUCCAGGACAGAACUGGCCCUCCUGACCAGUCUAUUCAGUCUCUUCCUGUCCCUCUUGGUACCCCCUGCCCCCCAGCAGACCACCACAUAGAAAAGUGCAGAUGCUACCACAGAGUCAUAGAAAGUCCUGAGCAGAGUCCUGCACACUCCAAAGGACCUCAGUCUCCUCAGCAGGUGGAGACGACUUUGGCCCUUCUUGUACAGGACGUCUGUGUUGGUUGACCAGUCCAGUUUGUUGUUGAGGUGGACACCCAGGAAUCUGUAGGACUCCACCAUCUCAAUAUCCAGACCCUGGAUGUGCACUGGAACAGUCUGAGGUGUCCUCCUCCUGCGGAAAUCCACAACCAUCUCCUUUGUCUUACUGGCGUUGAGCUGAAGGUGGUUUGUGCCACACCAGUUGACAAAGUCAGUGAUGACAGCCCUGUAUUCCCGCUCAUCCCCUGACGAUACACAUCCGACGAUGGCUGUGUCAUCAGAGAACUUCUGGAGGUGACAGCUCCCAGAGUUGUAGCUGAAGUCUGAGGUGUACAGGGUGAAGAGGAAGGGGGAGAGCACUGUCCCCUGUGGAGCCCCCCGUGCUGCAGACCACCAUGUCCGAUACACAGUUCUGAAGCCUCACAAACUGUGGUCUGUCGGUGAGGUAGUCCACGGUCCAUGCGGCUCGGUGACAGUCCACUCCCGCCCGCUCGAGCUUGUCCCUGAGCAGUGAAGGCUGGAUGGUGUUGAAAGCACUGGAGAAGUAAAAAAACAUGACCCUCACAGUGCUGCCUGUAUUCUCCACGUGGGCCAUGGACCUCUGCAGCAGGUAGAUGACUGUGUCGUCAGCAGGUAGAUGACUACGUCGUCAGCAGGUAGAUGACUACGUCGUCAGCAGGUAGAUGACUGUGUCGCCCACCCCUGUGUCGUCCACCCCGAUAAAGAGUCUCAUCCACAACUACCACAAAAGACUUCAAGCUGUCAUUGAUGUUAGAGGGGGCAAUACAAGGUAUUAAGAACUGGGGUAUGUAAACUUUUGAUCAGGGUCAUUUGGGUGUCUUUUGUUGUCAUUAUGAUUUAAAAAUAGAAAACACAGUUGUUUAUCAAUAAAUGGCUCCACCCAACCACCAACCAUGAGUUGAAAAAGAGUUUUUGUGUUAUCAUUCAUAUUCUCUGAAAAAAGGCCAAGAAAGCAAAAAUUGUGCCGGGGUAUGUAAACUUUUGAGCACAACUGUAUGUAGUAGUGAGAAAACAUUUCAAUCUCUGCUAAGGUUGCUAUUCUGAGCCCAACUACUGUUUUGAAAGACUGUGACCUGUCCUGUCUUCAAAAGGGACAGUCAGUGUUUUCUUACCUCAGAACAAAACAGUGUGUGAGUUUUUUUAAGUUGUCUAUUUCAGUUUCGGUCACCUGCCUCCAUUUAUUGAUGUACCACUCACUCAUUCUGUGAAAUAGGGUCUUGGACUGAAAAUUAAAACCGAUAGAAAUUAAGUUAAAUGAAAAAAGGGGGAAAUCACCUAAAAAAGCAGUCAGUGUCCAAUAUAGUUUGUUUUCCACAGCUACUGAACUAUUGAUUGUGAAAAUCAAGAAUUGCAAAUUUCAAGGGAACAAAUAGAAGAUGGCUCCCACUGAUAACAUUAUCAUUCAAAGGGCAUUUAUUAAUUAGGUAAAAUUUAAAAAGUACGAGCUUGAAUCCCCCAGUUGCAUGAGUGAAAUGUCAAACUAUCACUUUAUCUUUGGUUCCCAUGUCACCAAAACACCUCAUAUCAAAAUGUUGACGAACCAAACACACAGAUGUUAUGGUAUUCAUGUGUUGCGGCCUUGCUGCUGUCAAAGUCUCUGCUUCUGCUUAGUUCUCAUUAAGGACUUAGUAAAAGUGUUUAUAGAAGACGGUUGUCAAUAUGUCUAAAACUGCAGGCACCCUUUUCGGGGUUAAGAAAUAUAAGCUUUAAUGAAACUAACUAUUUCAUAGUAAUACUAAAAGCUAGUGGCCACCUACCACUAGCUGGGACUGUAACUCCAGUUAAGGACUGCUUUAAGACUCUGUGAUCCUGUAUUCAGCAACCAAGUCAAUUGUGCUGAAACUGUGAUUCUUUGGUCUGGCUUUCACAUCAGACUCUUGAGCAGAAAGUACUCACUUCUUGGGAGUGGGCUAUAACUUUGGCUCAAUUAGCUGCUUAUGAGGGGAUGACAUACUUACUACUGAGUAAGUGUGAUCAAUACAUGCUCAGGGGGAUUGGAGGAUGUGUUCCAACAAUAGGGGGAUCACACUCCUCCGAUCUCUAUUUGGGGUCCAGGAAAGGAGGGUCCAUCAGAUAGUCAAACUUCAGAUCUGGGAGGAGCAAUGUGGUUCUUGUUCUGGUUUUGGGACUGUGGACCAGCUAUACAGCCUUGGCAGGAUCCUUGAGGGUGGAUGGGAGUUGUCCCUUGGAGAAAGAAUUCAUCCGUGUCCCUCGGGAAUCCUGUGAGGGUGUGAUUCUGGGGAAUGGGGUACCAGACACUCUGAUGAGGGCUGUUUGUUGCCUGUAUUUCCAGUGCCAGAGUUUGGUCUGCAUGUUUGGUUGUAAGUCAGGCUGGUUUCUGGUAAGGGGUUGGACACCACCAGGGCUGCCCUUUGCCACCGAUCCUGUUCAUAACUUUCAUUGACAGAAAUUCUAGGCGCAAUUUCUAGGGUGUUGAGCGGGUCAAGUUUGAUGUUCUCAGGAUUAGUUUACUGUUUUUUGAAAAUGACAUGGUCCUGUUGACUUCAUCAAGCCAUGACCUUCAGUUCUCACUGGAGCUUAAAGCAGUUGGGAUGAAAAUCAGCACCUCUAAAUCUGACUCCAAGGUUCUCAGCUGGAAAAAGCCGGAGUGCCCUCUCUGGGUUGGGAAUGAGAUCCUGCCCCAAGUUGGGGAGUUCAAGUAUGUCAGGGUCUCGUUCACGAGUCAGGUAAGAAUGGAGUAGGAGAUGGACAGGUGGAUUGGUGCGGUGUCAGCAGGGAUGUGGACGCUGCACUGAUCUGUUGUGGUAAAGAGGGAGCUGAGCCGAAAGGUAAAGCUCUUGCUGUACCAGUGGAUCUACAUUCCUACCCACACCUAUGGUCAUGAGCUGUGGGUAGUGACCAAAAGAACAAAAUCACAGGUACAAGGGGCCGAAAUGAGUUUUCUCUGCAGGGUGGCUGGGCCUUAGAGAUAGGGUAUGAAGCAGAGAAGGGCUUGGGGUAGAGCUGCUUCUCUUCUGCAUUGAGAGGAGUCAGAUGAGGUUACCUGGGAAUCUAACCAGGAUGCCACACAGACGCCUCCCUGCUGAGGUGUUUGUGACAUUUUUUUUCUUUCAUUGGCACAUGGAGUCAAACUUACCACAGACACGCCUUGAAACGGUUUUCUUAAGAAAAAGAAGAAGAACUU
rnacentral:lncRNA from 1 species